rnacentral:rRNA from 1 species
GUGGGGAAUAUUGGACAAUGGGCGGAAGCCUGAUCCAGCCAUGCCGCGUGUGUGAAGAAGGCCUUUUGGUUGUAAAGCACUUUAAGCGAGGAGGAGGCUCUUAAGGUUAAUACCCUUGAUGAGUGGACGUUACUCGCAGAAUAAGCACCGGCUAACUCUGUGCCAGCAGCCGCGGUAAUACAGAGGGUGCGAGCGUUAAUCGGAUUUACUGGGCGUAAAGCGUGCGUAGGCGGCUGAGUAAGUCGGAUGUGAAAUCCCUGAGCUUAACUUAGGAAUUGCAUUCGAGACUGGUCAGCUAGAGUAUGGGAGAGGAUGGUAGAAUUCCAGGUGUAGCGGUGAAAUGCGUAGAGAUCUGGAGGAAUACCGAUGGCGAAGGCAGCCAUCUGGCCUAAUACUGACGCUGAGGUACGAAAGCAUGGGGAGCAAACAGGAUUAGAUACCCCAGUAGUCC